GGGGGUACUGGGAGCCGGUCGGGGAGGCCUGGGCCAGGUACUGGGAGGGGCUUGGGGGAGCACUGGGGGAAAUGGGAGGGAACUGGUGGUACUGGGAGCUCCGCUGGCACCAGGGCUCUGUCCCCAUGGCCCCGACUGUGCCGUGCUGCGGUGUCCCUGGUGUCACUGGCCUCCUUGGUAACAUCAGUGUUGCUUGUGUCCCCGGUGUCCCCCAUUGUCAGUUGAGUCCCCGGUGUCCCUGUUGUGAGUUGUGUCCCCAUUGUCACGGGCGUCCCUGUUGUUCCCAUUGUCCCCGUCGUCAGUUGUGUCCCCAGUGUCACGGGUGUCCCUGUUGUCCCAGUCGUCCCCAGCGUCCCUGUUGUGCCUGGUGUCGGUUGUGUCCCCAGUGUCACGGGUGUCCCUGUUGUCCCAGUCGUCCCCAGCGUCCCUGUUGUGCCUGGUGUCGGUUGUGUCCCCAGUGUCACGGGUGUCCCUGUUGUCCCAGUCGUCCCCAGCGUCCCUGUUGUGCCUGGUGUCGGUUGUGUCCCCAGAGUCACAGGUGUCCCUGUUCCCAUUGUCCCUGGUGUCAGUGGUGUCCCCAUUGUCACGGGUGUCCCUGGUGUCCCCAGCGUCCCUGUUGUGCCUGGUGUCGGUUGUGUCCCCAGUGUCAC
rnacentral:lncRNA from 1 species